rnacentral:rRNA from 1 species
ACGGGAGGCAGCAGUAGGGAAUCUUCCGCAAUGGACGAAAGUCUGACGGAGCAACGCCGCGUGAGUGAUGAAGGUUUUCGGAUCGUAAAGCUCUGUUGUUAGGGAAGAACAAGUGCGAGAGUAACUGCUCGCACCUUGACGGUACCUAACCAGAAAGCCACGGCUAACUACGUGCCAGCAGCCGCGGUAAUACGUAGGUGGCAAGCGUUGUCCGGAAUUAUUGGGCGUAAAGGGCUCGCAGGCGGUUUCUUAAGUCUGAUGUGAAAGCCCCCGGCUCAACCGGGGAGGGUCAUUGGAAACUGGGAAACUUGAGUGCAGAAGAGGAGAGUGGAAUUCCACGUGUAGCGGUGAAAUGCGUAGAGAUGUGGAGGAACACCAGUGGCGAAGGCGACUCUCUGGUCUGUAACUGACGCUGAGGAGCGAAAGCGUGGGGAGCGAACAGGAUUAGAUACCCUGGUAGUCCACGCCGUAAACGAUGAGUGCUAAGUGUUAGGGGGUUUCCGCCCCUUAGUGCUGCAGCUAACGCAUUAAGCACUCCGCCUGGGGAGUACGGUCGCAAGACUGAAACUCAAAGGAAUUGAC